rnacentral:rRNA from 1 species
GACGAACGCUGGCGGCGUGCCUAAUACAUGCAAGUCGAGCGGAUUGAUGGGAGCUUGCUCCCUGAUAUCAGCGGCGGACGGGUGAGUAACACGUGGGCAACCUGCCUAUAAGACUGGGAUAACUUCGGGAAACCGGAGCUAAUACCGGAUAAUCCCUUUCCUCUCAUGAGGAAAGGCUGAAAGAUGGUUUACGCUAUCACUUAUAGAUGGGCCCGCGGCGCAUUAGCUAGUUGGUGAGGUAACGGCUCACCAAGGCAACGAUGCGGAGCCGACCUGAGAGGGUGAUCGGCCACACUGGGACUGGGCCACGGCCCAGACUCCUACGGGAGGCAGCAGUAGGGAAUCUUCCGCAAUGGACGAAAGUCUGACGGAGCAACGCCGCGUGAGUGAUGAAGGUUUUCGGAUCGUAAAACUCUGUUGUUAGGGAAGAACAAGUACGAGAGUAACUGCUCGUACCUUGACGGUACCUAACCAGAAAGCCACGGCUAACUACGUGCCAGCCGCCGCGGUAA